rnacentral:rRNA from 1 species
GACGAACGCUGGCGGCGUGCUUAACACAUGCCAGUCGAACGGAAAGGCCCCUUUGGGGGUACUCGAGUGGCGCACGGGUGAGUAACACGUGAGUAACCUGCCCUUGACUUCGGGAUAACUUCAGGAAACUGGGGCUAAUACCGGAUAGGAAUCCUUGCUGCAUGGUGGGGGUUGGAAAGCUUCGGCGGUUUUGGAUGGACUCGCGGCUUAUCAGCUUGUUGGUGGGGUAGUGGCUUACCAAGGCUUUGACGGGUAGCCGGCCUGAGAGGGCGACCGGCCACAUUGGGACUGAGAUACGGCCCAGACUCCUACGGGAGGCAGCAGUGGGGAAUAUUGCACAAGGGGCGGAAGCCUGAUGCAGCAACGCCGCGUGCGGGAUGACGGCCUUCGGGUUGUAAACCGCGUUCAGCAGGGGCGAAGCUUGUGGUGACGGUACCUGCAGAAGAAGCACCGGCUAACUACGUG